rnacentral:tRNA from 1 species
UAUAGUUCAAUGGUAGGGCUCUUGCUUGUUAUGCAGGAGGCCUUGGGUUCAAUCCUCAGUA